rnacentral:rRNA from 1 species
GAUGAACGCUGGCGGCGUGCCUAAUACAUGCAAGUCGAGCGAACAGACGAGGAGCUUGCUCCUCUGACGUUAGCGGCGGACGGGUGAGUAACACGUGGAUAACCUACCUAUAAGACUGGGAUAACUUCGGGAAACCGGAGCUAAUACCGGAUAAUAUAUUGAACCGCAUGGUUCAAUAGUGAAAGACGGUUUUGCUGUCACUUAUAGAUGGAUCCGCGCCGCAUUAGCUAGUUGGUAAGGUAACGGCUUACCAAGGCAACGAUGCGUAGCCGACCUGCAAGGGUGAGCGGCCACCCUAGAUGUGAGACACGCUCCAGCCUCGUACGGUAGGCAGCAGUAGGGAAUCUUCCGCAACGGGCGAAAGCCUGACGGAGCAACGCCGCGUGAGUGAUGAAGGUCUUCGGAUCGUAAAACUCUGUUAUUAGGGAAGAACAAAUGUGUAAGUAACUAUGCACGUCUUGACGGUACCUAAUCAGAAAGCCACGGCUAACUACGUG